CCCCUGCCCCGGGGGGCCCCGCUCGGAGGGAAGGCUGAGGAAUCAGGUCCACGUUUUGCUCCAAAUCGGCCCAUCAUCCCGGGGACUGGAAAGAGAAAUGGCUGUGAUGGAGCCAGCUCAGAUGCCGGUGACCUUCGAGGAGGUGGCUGUGUAUU